rnacentral:rRNA from 1 species
UACGGAGGGGGCUAGCGUUGUUCGGAAUUACUGGGCGUAAAGCGUGCGCAGGUGGCCGCGCAAGUCGAGUGUGAAAUCCCCGGGCUUAACUUGGGAAUUGCGCUCGAAACUACGUGGCUGGAGUGCGGCAGAGGAAGGUGGAAUUCCACGUGUAGCGGUGAAAUGCGUAGAGAUGUGGAGGAACACCAAUGGCGAAGGCAGCCUUCUGGGCCGACACUGACGCUCAUGCACGAAAGCGUGGGGAGCAAACAGG